GCAUCUUGCACAGAGAAGCCAUCAUGAAUAGAACUGGCAUCGUAGCACUUGCUAUCACCAUCCUGCUACUUGUGGGGUGUAGCGCAAGAGGCGUCGUUAAAGACUCGGGUAUCAAGUUAUCAGAUCUGAGCUGUGACUUUGAUUCCAACACCUUCUGUGGGUACAAAAACAACCCAAACGAUCACUUUGA